GGGGUUAUAGCUCAGUUGGUAGAGCGCUUGAAUGGCAUUCAAGAGGUCAGGGGUUCGAUUCCCCUUAGCUCCA
rnacentral:tRNA from 6 species